rnacentral:rRNA from 1 species
UGGGGAAUCUUCUGCAAUGGGCGCAAGCCUGACAGAGCGGCGUCGUGUGAAGGAAGAAGGCCUGAAAUAGGUUGUAAACUUCUUUUACUGAGUAAUGAAUAAUGACAACGCAGUAAAAAAGUAUCGGCUAACUCCGUGCCAGCAGCCGCGGUAAUACGGGGGAUGCAAGCGUUAUCCGGAAUCACUGGGCGUAAAGCGUCUGUAGGUGGUUUAGUGUGUUCUUAGUUAAAUUAUGAAGCCUAACUUCAUGAAAAGUAAGAAAACUAUUAGACUUGAGUACGAUAGGGGUAAGAGGAAUUCUUCGAGAAGUAGUGAAAUGCGAAGAUACGAAGGAGAAGAUCAUAAGCGAAGGCUUCUUACUGGGUCGUAACUGACACUGAGAGACGAAAGCUAGGGGAGCGAAUGGGAUUAGAUACCCCAGUAGUCCUAGCUGUAAACGAUGGAUAUUCGGUGCCGGAAAUUUAGUGUAUUAGAACAUUUCGGUACCCUAGCUAACGCGUUAAAUAUCCCGCCUGAGAG